GAUGAACGCUGGCGGCGUGCCUAAUACAUGCAAGUCGAGCGAAUGGAUUAAGAGCUUGCUCUUAUGAAGUUAGCGGCGGACGGGUGAGUAACACGUGGGUAACCUGCCCAUAAGACUGGGAUAACUCCGGGAAACCGGGGCUAAUACCGGAUAACAUUUUGAACCGCAUGGUUCGAAAUUGAAAGGCGGCUUCGGCUGUCACUUAUGGAUGGACCCGCGUCGCAUUAGCUAGUUGGUGAGGUAACGUCUCACCAAGGCAACGAUGCGUAGCCGACCUGAGAGGGUGAUCGGCCACACUGGGACUGAGACACGGCCCAGCCUCCUGCGGGAGGCAGCAGGAGGGAAUCUUCCGCAAUGGACGAAAGUCUGACGGAGCAACGCCGCGUGAGUGAUGAAGGCUUUCGGGUCGUAAAACUCUGUUGUUAGGGAAGAACAAGUGCUAGUUGAAUAAGCUGGCACCUUGACGGUACCUAACCAGAAAGCCACGGCUAACUACGUGCCAGCCGCCGCGGUAA
rnacentral:rRNA from 1 species